rnacentral:lncRNA from 1 species
CAGGGGCUGGUCAUCAAGAUGGAGCAGGGUAUAGAGAAGCCAUUAGGGAUGAUACAGAACACCACCAAAGGAGCUCCUUCUGGGAUUCUCUAUUGGCUGAACUCAGCCAGAAGCUGCCAAGGGAGACCCCCACAACUGGAUGCAGCCCACUGAAGUCAGCUUCCUGGGGUGCGUAGCUGAAGGUAGCAGGGAGCAAAAAGAAUCUGAAGGGGAAGUGAACAAUGUAGAGCGUAUCUGUGCUGAAGACGUAAGGAGAGAGUGGAGGUCAGAAGCUGGCAUGGUCCCUGGUGCAUGUAUCAGCCGCUAAAGAAGUGGAGAGUAUGAACAUAAGCAAGAGGAAGUGAUGAGUAUCCCUUCCAGGAGAACUCUAAGAGGCAGUGAGUGAUUUGCUGGGCUCCCAAGCCCUCUGCUCUGAUGACAGCAAAGCCCCAAAUCAUGGUGCCUCCAUCAGUCGGGACCCCUCAGCAGAGCCAGCUUCACAGCUGGAGUGGAUGAAUCAGAACUUUCCCCAUGGGAGCAUUUAUAAAAAGGGGACACCCAGCGCAGAAGAUGUUUUCCAGGGAGAUCUCGGGGAGCCCAACAAGCCAAGAAGAGCAGAGCAAAGCAUUCCAAGGAAGGACUCUAAGUCUGCAACCGAGCACACACGAGAAAUCCCUAACCGUGCGGGGUAAGCCUGGAUGGCAAGGAGCUUAGAACACAACUCAGUGGUCAUGAGCCUGACGUCAUUCAUCACUUUGCAUACCUUCAAGUUCUUCCAACCUCCUCUCUCCUUCAAAAAUCUUACUUAGGGCUCUGCCUCUUCCAAGAAGCAGUAGCAAGUCCCCCAGCUGAUGAGCAGAAUAAAAAUUUUUACAAAUGUGCAUACCAAUGGAGUUAUUUUAGAAUAUGCCCAGGCCUGCAGAGGAUGACUGCAAAAGCCCCUACUAUUGGUAGAGCAGUGAGAAAAUUGGUUUCACUGUCAUGCCUUGUGUAUUAGUUAUCUAUUGACUUAUGCUAAUUGACUGAUGCUACAUUUUUUAAAAAAACCACAAAACCUCAGCAGCAUACAGCAAUAAGUUUGCAUUGCUUGUGCAUUUAGGGUGCUCAGCCAGGUGGUUCUGCUGAUCUUGCUGGGGAUUACUCAUGCCCAGGGCUUGGCUGGCUGUUGGCUGAUUGAGACUGGCCUCAGUGGGAAUGAUUCUGGCAUCUCAGUUUGCUCCAUGUAUCUCUCAUCCUCCAGGGUAGCCUACGCAUGUACGUCUUGCAGUGAUGGCAAGGAGCAGGAGAAAGAAAGCCCAUCCAAACAAGCAUAUUGGAAGCCUAUGUAUCCCAUAAGCUGACAUCUUGUUGCCCAAAGCAUGUCAUGUGCGUGGUCCAGAGUCAGUGUUGAAGGGCUCUGCAAAAUCACAUGGUAAAGACUGUGGUUUCAGGGAGGAGUGAAGAUUUGUGCGCAUUGCUCCAAUUGACAACCAUGGCACUAGGCUCAGGCCACACUUCUUCCUAACAAGAGAGCAAGUCAAAGCGUGGUUAGUUAAAGUCCAUACAAAAACUCACUUUAACAGGCCUCCUCUGGAUUGAACAGCUGAUAUUAAGUCAUAAGGUACCACAUCAGAAAGAUACUGGGUAUCUUUGGUUCAGCAAUUCCAUCACCAGGGACUUUUUCAUCCUAAGGAAAUCACUGCACGGUGGACAAAGAUAUAUGCAUAAGGAUGCUCCUUCUGGCCAAAGACCAAAAACAUAACUGGCCAUCAGUAAAAGCCAACACAAGGAAAGACCAUGUGAAUACACAGCAAGAACGUGGUGCUCUGCAAGUCAGAAACAGACCCGUCAUCAGACACCAAAUCAGCCAGCACCUUGAUCUAGGAUUUCUGGCCUCCAAAACAGUGAGAAAAUAAAAUUCUGUUGUUUAAGCCAUGCAGCCUGUUGUAUUUCAUUAUGGCAGCCUGAGCAGAAUAAGACAGGUAUAUACAAAUGCAAAUUCUAUUAAGAAAUCUGUAUCUUUUAC